rnacentral:rRNA from 1 species
UGAGUAGGUGGCUUGGUAAGCGUGUGGUGAAAGCCUGGGGCUCAACCCCAGGUCUGCCAUGCGAACUGUCAGGCUUGAGCAUAGUAGAGGCGGGUGGAAUUCCGGGUGUAGCGGUGGAAUGCGUAGAUAUCCGGAAGAACACCGGUGGCGAAGGCGGCCCGCUGGGCUAUUGCUGACACUGAAUCACGACAGCGGUGGGAGCAAC